rnacentral:rRNA from 1 species
UACGGAGGGUGCAAGCGUUGCUCGGAAUUAUUGGGCGUAAAGGGGAGGUAGGUGGUCUCGUUUGUCCGAGGUGAAAUCCCUAGGCUUAACCUAGGACGUGCCUUGGAAACGGCGAGACUAGAGUACUGGAGAGGUUUGCGGAAUACCCGGUGUAGCGGUGAAAUGCGUAGAUAUUGGGAGGAACACCAGUGGCGAAGGCGGCUCGCUGGACCGGUUCUGACGCUGAGGCGCGAAAGCGUGGGGAGCAAACGGG